UAGGGAAUCUUCGGCAAUGGACGAAAGUCUGACCGAGCAACGCCGCGUGAGUGAAGAAGGUUUUCGGAUCGUAAAACUCUGUUGUUAGAGAAGAACAAGUACGUUAGUAACUGAACGUCCCCUGACGGUAUUUAACCAGAAAGCCACGGCUAACUACGUGCCAGCAGCCGCGGUACUACGUAGGUGGCAAGCGUUGUCCGGUUUUAUUGGGCGUAAAGCGAGCGCAGGCGGUUUCUUAAGUCUGAUGUGAAUGCCUCCGGCUCAACCGGGGAGGGUCAUUGGAAACUGGGAGACUUGAGUGCAGAAGAGGAGAGUGGAAUUCCGUGAGUAGCGGUGAAAUGCGUAGAUAUAUGGAGGAACACCAGUUGCGAAGGCGGCUCUCUGGUCUGUAACUGACGCUGAGGCUCGAAAGCGUGGGGAGCAAACAGG
rnacentral:rRNA from 1 species